GGGGGCGGGCCGGGCCCGGCGCAGGCGCCGCCGAAAGCUCGCAGCGGAGGGCGGCUGGGCCCGAGACGGCGGCUCCAUGCGCUGCCAGGUCUCGGUGCUGUAUUUCGCCCGGAGCGCGGAGCUGGCGGGGCUGCGCAGCGAGACCCUCUCGGUGCCACGGCAGAUCACCUCUCUGCAACUCUGGGAGGAGAUCGUCAAAGCCCACCCCAGGCUUGCCGUCAUCCAGGAUCAAGUGGUUUUUGCUGUUCGGCAGGAAUACGUGCUUCUUGGAGAUCAGCUCCUGGUCCUUCAGCCUGGAGACGAGGUUGCCAUCAUCCCACCAAUUAGUGGAGGCUGAACCUGCCCAGAUUCUGUUGGGUCCACAGAUGUGAUUGACAUUCUCUCCCUCCACCCCAGUACUGUUUUGAGAGAGCCUAAUGUGUGUUUCCAUCUGGAGAGUACAGUUGUGCUGACCAGAAACUAUAAGCCAGUGCACCAGUAAAUGAUUAACACGUAUUCAGUAAAUGGAAGACAAUUGCCAGAGAGGUGAUCUGAUGACUGGUUUCUACUCAGAAAAGUUAAAAGCGUCUCUGUUGUGACUGAAACAGACAGAUACUGUGAGGUCCUGAAUGUCCUGGAGAGCAUAUUCAACUUUAGGAUUAGAAAUCUAAUCUGUGUUUAUCACAAAUCUCAGUUUUAAACUGUUUGAUUUCAGGAUAAGAAAAGUAGGAGAGGCUGCAAUAUCACUGCACUACACAGUGGUCCAUGCUGGUUGAUUGUAUUAUUAAACCAUGGCCUCAGACUAAUUAUAGUUUUGUCCCAUUGUACCAGACUUUCCUGUCAGAAAGGAACAUGUAUACAUUAAAAACCAGGUCAUUGCUCGAUAUUUGCAGUUAAUAUUCUCUCUGUGAGACUGAUGAGAAGUGAAUUUGAUGUGUAGACUGGUCUCUCAGGGAAAUAGAUGGUGCAUGUUGUUUGCAUAAAUUAGAUAAAAAGCAGUUGGCUGAUGCUAGUAUCUUCAGAAACAACUACAGAGUCUGUUU